UUGACGGGGCCGCACAAGCGGAGGAACAUGUGGUUAAUUCGUAUGAUACGCGAGGAACCUUACCUGGGCUUAAAUGCAGAGUGCAUGGAGUGGAAACACUUCUUCCCUUCGGGCUCUUUGCAAGGUGCUGCAUGGUUGUCGUCAGCUCGUGCCGUGAGGUGUCGGGUUAAGUCCCAUAACGAGCGCAACCCUUAUCGUUAGUUGCCAGCGGGUAAAGCCGGGAACUCUAGCGAAACUGCCGGUGUAAACCGAGAGGAAGGUGGGGAUGACGUCAAAUCAGCACGGCCCUUAUGUCCAGGGCUACACACGUGUUACAAUGGCCGGUACAGAGGGCAGCUACCUGGAGACAGGAUGCGAAUCUCGAAAGCCGGUCUCAGUUCGGAUCGGAGUCUGCAACUCGACUCCGUGAAGCUGGAUUCGCUAGUAAUCGUGGAUCAGAAUGUCACGGUGAAUACGUUCCCGGGUCUU
rnacentral:rRNA from 1 species